AGCAGGCCUGGGGCUUGGUUCUAUGUCCCUGUGGGUAGGUGCGAGGGCGAGGAGGAACCUGUGGGCCUCGGGGGAUCCCGGGGGGCCAGACCAGUGUUCCCCAUUUGUGGGGGCAGACGCGUGGGCGCAUCGCGGGCAGGAGGGGCCUGACGUGCAUUUGCGGGCCGUGGACCCUGGCGGGGGCUGGGAGGACAGACGUGGGGUCCCAGCAGUGAAGCGGGUUCCAGAGGCACAGGAGUGGCUAUGUUUCCAGUGUCCUCUGGGUGUUUCCAAGAGCAACAAGAAACGAAUAAAUCUCUG
rnacentral:lncRNA from 1 species